rnacentral:lncRNA from 1 species
CAAACACAUACACACCUACCACCACAAACACAUACAAAUAAAAACCCACAGAUAUUACGCACACACCGGCCCAUACAAACACAUAUAUUACACACACAUACACAAACUUAUACUUAAACUUCCAUUCACCUACACACACAUAUCACCCACAUAAACACACGCAAACACAAAUACACACAUCACAUACACAAACACAUAGACACACACACACUCUCUUUUUCUCGUUCUCUAUCUCUCUCAAACAUUAAAACAUACAAUCACACACAUACACACACACACAC